GCUGGAGUAUUUGUAAGUUACGGAAACGACAACUACAAAUUUGAAAAAAAUGAUGCUAUAAAAUUUACAAUAAUAUUUAGUUUUAUUGUUGCGGCUUGGGGAUUACAGAUUUUUGCAGGAUGUCAAUACAUGAUUACAGCCGGUAGCGUGGCUCAUUGGUUUUUCAAAAAGAAAACAUCGCGUUCUAUUAUUUUGACAAGCGUAAUACAUACUAUGAAAUUUCAUUUUGGAACUAUUACUUUUGGAUCAGUUAUUGUAUUAUUAAUGAGUGUCAUUAAAUUUUUGUUGAAACGUAUUGAAGGCUUAAAAUACGUUUUUAUUUGUGGCCCCAGUUGUUGUUGCACUUACUGUACUUGCUCCACUUGUUGCUGUUGUUUUCAGACAGCUACGACUGUUAUAAAAUAUUUAUCGAAAAAUGCAUAUAUUGAAACUGCAAUUCGAGGAACACCCUUCAUAAAAUCAGGAAAACAAGGUGUAAAACUUUUACUCAAAAACGCAGCUAGUAUGAUUGCCUUAAAUUCCGUAGGAGAUUUUGUAUUGACAAUGACACAGUUCGUCUUAAUCGUCAUUUCUACUGGAAUUGCUUCUGUCUUUUUCAUGGAAGAGCCACAUUUCAUAUCUAUAAGUUUUCUAAUUAAUCUAUUUAUUGUUUUUUUACUUUUUUCUACUUUUGAGGUAAGUAAAAUUAAGCAUUAAUUAUUUUAUUCUUCGACUC